rnacentral:rRNA from 1 species
GAUGAACGCUGGCGGCGUGCCUAAUACAUGCAAGUCGAACGAGGUGCUUGAGUAGCAAUACAAGAGUAUCCUAGUGGCGAACGGGUGAGUAACGCGUGGAUGACCUGCCCCAAAGUGUGGGAUAACAGUCCGAAAGGAUUGCUAAUACCUCAUGUGGUUAUCGGAUUUAGAAACUGAUAACUAAAGCAGCAAUGCGCUUUGGGAGGGAUCUGCGUCCCAUCAGCUAGUUGGUGAGGUAACGGCUCACCAAGGCGACGACGGGUAGGGGACCUGAGAGGGUGGCCCCCCACAAUGGAACUGAAACACGGUCCAUACACCUACGGGUGGCAGCAGUAGGGAAUAUUGCUCAAUGGGCGAAAGCCUGAAGCAGCAACGCCGCGUGUGCGAUGAAGGCCU